UGAUACAUAUGUGAGGAGUGUGGUCUCUUGAAAUAUUUUCUUUGGGGAAAGAAAGCAGAGGGACAAAAAGAGUACCAUCUUGAAUUUUUCUUGAGUUGAGGUUAUUGAACACGUAGUGUAUUAAAUGGAGUAGAAUUUCCAUAAUGAAGAUGUUUUACAUUUUAAAUAUCUUCAUCACAUCUUAUUGAGUAACUAUUGGUAUGCACAUCUUAAUUACAACAAACUGUAAAGGAUUGGUUGUUUUUUAUCCACAUAAAUUAUUUUGUGGGCCUCUGGGUUUCUUUCUUGGAUACCGAAAGAACCUCUCCCAAAAUGUAUGCAAAAUAUACAGUUUGGAGAUAAUGACAGGUGUGUGUAUAUGUUUUCUUUUUUUUUCACAAUUUCCUUACUUCUUUGCAGCCUUCCACCCAUUGUUUCAGUGGAAUUUAUUACUUUAGGAGAAGGCUAAAAUAGCUGAUCCCAAAAAGUCAAUUGAGUUUCUGAACUUAUUUUUUAAAGUUCUCAAAGAGAGAAUACUUUUUGAAAGCUGAGACUUUUAGUAUAAAAGCCUGAGCUGGAAAGCUUAAGAUUUUGGAAGUUUCAAUGCCCAGAGUUUAUACCAAACCACAUGAGUAUUUUGCUGCCCAAAAGAGAUCAGGUUUGAGCAGCAGGUACCCAGGGGGAAAAACAGAAGUUAGAGGCUAAUGAGGAGCUGAAGCAAGUUUUUAGUGCUCUGCUUCCCUCCUACAGAGCCUUUGGGGAACCUGAGGAUAGGAUGGGAUAGGAUAGGAUAGGGUAGGAUAGGAUAGGAUAGGAUAGGAUAGAUUUGGGGCCCUGUACCUUGAUUCCUGAUGAAGGUCAAGAGAAAGAAAGCAAUUCUUGUAGGUAAGUCCAUUCCAGCAUGGUUUUGCAGUAGCAAAGUAUAAAAGGUGACAGGAAGGUCUAGGCAGAGAAAGUCUUAAGUAGCACCCCAAAAAGCCUGCAGCCCCUAGAGAUGCCAGAUUCAAAAAUCCCCAUUCCCCUGAGAUGAGUGUGGCCAUUUACAUUUACCAUUUUUUAACACACAAAAUUCGUAAUGGCUACAAGUGAGUCACUGCAGUCUGAUUUUCCUUUCUCAUGUCUAGAUGUCAAAUAACCCAAAGUCUCUGGAGUCAUCUGUGUGACCUUCAAAGACCCAUCAACCUGAGAACAGAGCAGUAGGAUGCAGGUUUUAAACUUCUUCAAAGUAAGAGGAAGAAAAGAAGAUGAAGCAGCUGAGUCCAAUGUAGUGAGCAUCCUGAGCCAGUGCAAUACUAGGUUGUCUUCAAAUAUUAAUUACAUAUAUUUGAAACUUAAAACCAUCAUAGAAUUUUCACUUAAAAUAGUGGAUAACAAACAUAGGUAAGAAUGGUAAGAAUGAAGAGCAUGGGGGAAUAUUACUGACAAGGGUCAAGGGAAAUGGUCUUAUUGGUCUCAACAUUUAUUUUGAUUUUGAGUCCAUCUAUUUUUCAGAAUUCCAUUAGAAGGCAUUCCGUUAUUGCUACCAAGUGUCACCAAGUGACUCUCAUACUGAUACUGGUCACAAUCUGGAAAGCCUUCAGAGGAUUUGCUAUGCUAAAAAAAAAAAAAGGCUUGAGAAAGGUAUUGUUAAUUCAGUAUCUCUAGGUUUCAGGGUGAUUUAAAAAAAACUCAUAGGAUCAGGGCCACCUCUAUGUUGUACGCGGCUCUAGAAAUACAUUUUUUUUGCAGGGCCCUGUUUAUAGAAACACUUUGAUUAAAAAACAUAAAGUCACUGGACCCCUGUGAGGUAUAAUCAUUUAUCAGUGAAGAUUUAGAAUAAUGGAUGGACAAGUGUUACUUCUGUGUUUGUUAUGUGUCCAGUCAGCACCUGUGAAGGUCCUCAUGCUCUCUGGGCACUAGCUCUUCCUGUUUAGGUCCAGGGACCUUCUCUCUCUUCUCCUUUUUGUCAGAUGCACCAUUCCUGGCUAACUUCAUAUCUCCCACUGUGGGAAAAAGGUAAGAAAUACAUUCUUAGUCCCCACACUCUUUGGAGCCUGUUGGUAUUAAAGCAGUAUGGACUGAUUUUACCUCUUCAGCUCUCCCACAGUCCUCUGUUCAGUGCUGGUCAGGUCAGUACUCAUGACACCUCAUCCUCUUUGCGCUGCCCGUGAAUAUGGGCCUCCAGUGACUCAUAAGCAUCAUUAACCAAGCUUCUUUGCCUAUGACCGCAAGGGUGAGUUUUACCCGGACAAUGCAGAAAAGUGGGAACAGUCAUUUAUUUUUUUGGUCAUGUUAAAUUGACUGCUUGCAAUUACAUAGCGUAAAUGUAGAAUAACACAUCUUCAAGUAUGUCUUCUCUCAGGUGCUGCAGACUAGUGAUCUCCUUCAGUGUUGACAGUGGGAGAGGGUCCUGCGGGCCCAGCAGAAGAGUGGUUCCAUACCUACAAAAAAGCCAACAUGAGAAAAUGCAAUGUUAGCACAUUGAUCAGAGACAAGGGGACAUGUGUUACAAGGGUAUGUGAUACAGUUAACAGUCUCCAAAAACCUUGGAGGAGAUGAGGGACUCAGGCAUUCCUGUAGACUGACAUGUGGCGAGGAGUGUGUCAGGGGACAGUGGCGACCCUUAGGCCAGCAAUGAGGGUGGGGCGUCCUGAUGUUGAAGGACCCCCGCUGCCACCCCGCUACCCUGGGGUUUUGUAGAUUGGAGGCAGCACUGCAGUGGGAACACUGACAAGCCCACAAAUGCCAGGCUCAAGUCCAAAAGUGGUUACUUCACCCAUUGCCCUGAAUAAUCCUAUGUCCGAUGUGAGUGAGUCACCCAAAGUCAAUAUGCCAGCACCCACGCUGGCAGCCCAGUCGUAUGCAAGGAAACAGCAUGCUGGCUAUUGAGGGGGAGGGGACCUGUUUGCCAGGCUAACCUCCUGGAACACAUCUGGACCACAGGCCCCAGAAAACCGAAAGGUGUGAGGUCAGGGGUUCCUUGGGGCAUCUGAUUGAAGCCACCCUGGGACAGAAGGUUGGAGAGUGCCCUGAAAAGAAGUGGAGGCUAGCACCCCUGCAGGCACUGGUCUGGGAUGGGGCUGUCAGACCUGGAUGGCACUGCUAGCCAGCCCUGGGAGAUCCCAGGCAUCUGAGGAAGACUUAGAAACAUUUGCACAGGUGCUCUGAUGGGAUUGGGCCACUUGCCUGGACCUAAGGUUGGUGCCGUGUAGGGUGUUUUGUCGUAGAUCUGGAAGCAUGCAGGGAUCAUAUGUAGAGGGCCAUACUGUUGACUCAGAGCUGGAUACAUGUUAACCCUUCAGUUUGCAAUGGUCUGUCAGAGUGCAGGGGUAGUUUUCCAAAAAACAACACCUGUAUAAUAAUUUGUUAGGGAAGCGUAUAUAUGUGUGUGUAUUCCCCUAACACAUGCAUGUGGUCACAUAUAUACAUUUGUAUAUACAUUCAUAUAAAAAUAUAUAAGCACAUAAUUUAUACUUUUUUAUAAACAGGUAUAAACAUAAACGUAUAUGUCUUUCACACGUAUAUCUCUUUCAUUUGAUAGAAGAAUUUGGCUUCAUUAAUUCAUUUUAAUUGAUUUUUUCAUUCAUGUAACCUAUUUAUUGCAAAGCAACCAUUUUCAUGUUUUUGAUCCAAUAAAGUAUUCCAAUAUGUGAAAUCAUGACACUAAUAUGACAUUAGUCUUCAUUUUUUUUUUAUUUUUUUUAACGUUUAUUUAUUUUUGAGACAGAGAGAGACAGAGCAUGAACGGGGGAGGGUCAGAGAGAGAGGGAGACACAGAAUCAGAAGCAGGCUCCAGGCUCUGAGCCAUCAGCCAAGAGCCCGACAUGGGGCUCGAACUCACGGACCGUGAGAUCGUGACCUGAGCUGAAGUCGGACGCUUAACCUACUGAGCCACCCAGGCGCCCCGUCAUUUGUUUUUAAAAUAAUCUCUAGGCCCAACAUGGGGCUCAGAUUUACAACCCUGAGAUCAUGAGUCGCACGCUCUUGGGCGCCUGGGUGGCCCAGGCGGUUAAGCGUCCGACUUCCUUUGGGUCAUGGUCUUGCGGUUUGUGAGUUCAAGCCCCACGUCGGGCUCUGUGCUGACAGCUGGGAACCUGGACCCUGCUUCAGAUUCUGUGUCUCCAAGAGUCGCAUGCUCUACCCACUGAACCAGCCAGAAGCCCAUUUCUUCACUUCUUAAGGGAGCUGGAUAGAUACACUUAUGGCACCUUGGUUUCUCUUUACAACCAUAUUUUCUUUAUGGCUGAUACUUUUGUGUAAUUUUGUAUAAGUUGGGAGAUUUCUUACUAAUUUGACCCUGCUUCUCUAGUCUUUUUCCUUUCAGUAUAUAGUACUUCUUGUCAUAUUUUCAAAAGAAUACUUUAUAAAGAAAAAAUAUUCAGCAAAUAAAGGAAAUGAAAACCCCAAUGGAUGUUGUGUAAGAAUAGGAUUGUAUCAUUACCAAUGAAAUUUUCUUUCCUAUAAACAAAAUGAGGAACAAGACUAAGAAGUAUUAAGUAUGCUUAAAUAUGCUGAGGUCUUGGAAAUUGUAACUGUAAGAACGUGUAUCACUGCACCGUGCUUAAGGGGUAUAGCUUUCUCAUUCUCUACAUUCACUGGAAUUUUGAGAAGUAGUGCCAAGUAUAUGUUGUGAGCUUUGUGCAUUCUGAACUCAGUGGCAAUGCAAGAGGCUCCUGGUUUGGUGGCCACAUCUCAGGUUCGAAGAGGGAGGCAGUACAGGGGCAGAGUGGGCUGCGUGGUGAGGCAGUGGUGCAUAUGGGCCUCAAGGGCUGGGCAGUGGUUUGGAAAUUGCAGUAGUGGAUGUGGUGAGGUGCUGCCCAGAUGCCCCUUCAGGAGGAGACAGACACACAUCGCCCAGCUGCAAGGAGAGCUGGCUGCUGAUGGAUCUCAGCUGAAUCCCUCUCUGAGAACUGCCUUUUGCCAAAGGUUAUACCUCCUUCCUGGGAGGAAGCCCACCUCUGGUGCCUGGUCAAAGGGGGGUGGAGGGCACAGCACCUUGACAUAAUUUCUGACAUCCUGAAAGACCACCCCAGCUCCAGAGCUUCAGAUGGGAUCCACUGAGGCCUGAGUUGUGGACGCAUCAUGGUUCACCUUCCCCCUUUGCCCAGUCCCGUACCCCUUGCUCCCUCAAGGGGCUUCCUGAGAGCUCCCCAGUAAGCCCUGCAUGCAGAUCUCAGCAUCUCACUGUCGGUUUCCAGGAUGCCUGAUGUAAGAUAGUAACAGGCUUUCAGGCAGAGGGUGGCUUUGGGAAACAGUCGAGAUGUCCAGUUGGCUGGGGUGUUGUGUUGAAUGUAGGGGCAAGUGAGAUAGAAAUGUGGCAAAGGGGCAGGUCUGGGCGGUGGUGAGGAUCUGCAGUUUUGAGCACAGGGCAACCUUAUGGCCAAUUUAGGUCAAAUUACCAAAAAAUUUUGUGGUAUAUCUCAGGGACCAUAUUAUAAUGAGAAAAGUAACUGAAAGAAGUUGGUUUAUAAUGUACUGUCAUUUUGAGAUGCAAAUCCCAUCAUUAGUGAACCAUAGUUUUUAAAAAAGUUUUUCAGGAAACAGGGAUAGAUCUGAGAGGAUUGUCUACAUAAGCAAUCUCCACAUGCAUUUACAAAAUAGCUGGUAAGGGUUAAAGAGAUUGCUUCUUCACUUUCGAAUACUUGUUCCUAGGUGAACAGAGAGUAUGUCCUACUAGGUAUUAGAGAUUAUGUAUGUCCUCUCUGAACCUACAAUAACCCUGCAAGGCAGUAUUAAUGUACCAGUUUUAGGGAUAGGGAAACUGAGGCUUGGAUGGAAUAAGGGACUUGCCUGGUGAGUAAGGGGUAAAGAUGGGAUUCAAUCCCAGAUUUCUUUAACUUAGAAGCUUCUGCUGUCCAAAUCAGAUGAGCAGGUCUCAUGGAGCCCAUGACCUGGGCCUCGUGCUCCAGGGCUCUGACUCACCAGGCCUAAGUGGUGACCAAGACAUGUGCUUAUUAACCCUUGUAAGUCAUCUGUUCAAGCAACCAAAGUGGCUCUUCAGUAACUUAACCGUUGAUUUCAACAACGGCUCCUUCUUCAGUCACAAUAAUCAUAAAUAGCACUUCUAUUUUUAUUAUUUGCAGAGCCCUUUCUAUGCAUCGUGUUGUCCGAGCUUCACAACAGGGCUCUGUGGUAUCCAGGAGCCUGCACUGUAUGGACAGUCUCAGUGGACAACCUUACCCUCACUUUGGAGGGCAGUUGGUCAGUGAGGUGGCUCUGUCCCUGCUGAGUCACUCUAAGUUCACUGUGUCCCUCUGCAAAAGUCUACAGCUUUCAUCAAUCACCUUUUCCUUAUAGCAGCCCUCUGGUUCCAAUCCAGUGCCCACCCUUCUCCACCCAGAUGUGUGCCCUGGAAGGCUGACCUGUGGACUGAUCACUGGGCUUCCAGUUGAAAUUGGCCAGUUGGACGCACCAGCAGAUCUGGCAAUCAGAUAAGAGUGAAAUUGGGGUAUUUAUUCUGCUCCCUUCCUGUGAGGACAAUGUGGACUGUCUGGAUCCUAAUACUGUGAGUCAUAGCUCCUGUCACCUGUUAGGGACCCUCUCCUCACAAUUCUCUGUCCUUGGAAACAGCUCUUUCUCAUGGCCUCUUGAGGCCUAGGGACAGUAAAGGGAGUACUGUUUUUGCUGCCCCAGAUGCUACACUAUUUCUUGUUUCCCCAUACCCUGGCCAGUUCUCUGAAAAGAGCCUCUUUAUCAUAAACUCUCAUAUUUCACAAAUUGAGUCUGCCGUUAUUUUCUGAUGGGACUUUGAUAUAUCUAUGAAAGAGUAUCUGGAUGUCCUCUCUCUGGGCCUUUCUUCCUAGAGGCCAUUGCUACAGGGAUAAUUUAGGACAUUGCUUUUUUAAAGCAAUUCUUUAAUCUCACUGCCUUACCAGACAUCAACUCAGACCCCUCUGGGGUGAGUCAUUCUAUUUGUGUGGGUGGGGUUUGUUAAAAAAAUUUAAGAAUUUUCUCAAAAGUCCAAGUGCAUAGCCCCAAAUGAAAUAAACAACUGAAAAAAAAAAAGGACUGUGCGUUUAAAUGCCUUGGACAGUGACCCACAACUCAGCCCCUCCUUUCUGGGCAGGAUGUGGUCAGAGUACUAUACACGGCUAAGAAAUUUCCCUUUGGGGCCGUUUGUUCAUGCAGUUUGGUGUGGAUGAAAUCAAUUCCAAGUAAUACCUAGAAGUUGAGGUGUUAUAUGUACAGUAUUAGUUGAAGAGCUUUGGAAGAGUCAGGAUAGCAUAUUAAUUUUCUCCUCUCCCAAAGACUGUUAAAAAUGGUUCUUAGUAGGACUCCUUUCCUUUAUUUUGGUCAUAAGCAGUAAAAGGCUGGCUUUCUAUGGCAUGCAGUGGCAGACAGAGACCCACCUGGACCCUUGUCUAUCUGGUGUAAAGCGUGUAAAAGUGCUAAAAACUCCCUGCUCAGAAAUACCUUUCUUCCCAGAAGUUCUGUCACAAUUCCAAAAAUUCCCAUUAUGAACAUGUUACCUUAAGGGUAUUACAGAGUGAUCUGUUUUACUGGGUUAAGGCAUCGUUUUAUGGGAUAAGGACAUUGCACAUCAGCUGGUUGAUGUCUUGGCAGAACGAAAUGUAACUAUCGCCUCCUGGCAUCAUUUGUAGAGAGAAUGGGAAGAUAAGGGUCCUGGUUGGGAAGGAGGUAAACAAAGGUGUGAGGCUUACAGAAUCACUCAGGAACUAGACCUGUUAGGGAGAACACAGUGGUGAGUUAGUGAGUACAGGGGCCACUGAGGUGCCUGAGUGUGCCUGGGUAUGACUAACACUGUCAUCAACUGUGCUGAAAUGUGAAAAUACGGUCCAUGUAAAGUGUUUGGGUCAAAGCUUAUUAAUAAAUAGAUUUCCUUUUCUGUGCCACUCAUAAUGUGGCUGAAAGCUGUCCCAGGCAGGAGAUUGUCAAAGGAUACCUAAGGAUGUGUCAGAGCUUGAAGAAUUAGACCAUUAUGAUAAAUCAGGAGCCAGAAUGGCAAUCAUCUGUCAGGCUGACUGUGAUUAAUUGGUAGUGACUGCCUGAAGUGCAGUUAAGGAGUGUGAGGUGGCAUCUAGUCACAAUGAAUAAAAAUGACAUUGUUGAUUACAGUGGGCUUAUGAGUGUGGGCUUGGACUUGGAGGUAAGGGGAGGUGAUCAUGUGCCACACAUUUGCUAGGCCUACCAAGGGUCUUUUUCUGGUUUAUUCCAUAAUCAAUGUGAUUGCUGGGUUUUGGGGGGCCUUAGACAGGCUUCAGGAAUCCCUAGUACCACCUUCCUGGGGAUUUCCUGUCACUGGAUCAGUUUACAAAGAGUAUAUGCACGAAACUUUUCAUUUCUUCCUAUGAUAAAAUCUGUUAUUUGGGCUAGAUGCCAGAUGAUGGUUUGGGGAUUCAGGCUGGGGUCUAACAGGCCAGGAAGAAUCAUCUCCAAAAGGAAUAACUGGUGAGGAGCAUAUCUUCAUAUGCUUGUUUUCUCAUUCCAUACCUCUACACCAGGUCAGGACUGCAGGAAGCCCUAGGAGUCAUCCUUGACUCCUCUCGUUCCCUCACAUUCUCCAUCUAAUGUAUCAGUAAGAGCUGACAGAAUAUAUGCUCAUAUGAUGCACUUCUCACCCCUACCACUGCCACUUCAGUCCAUCUCUCCUCUGGUCUGAUGGCAUAGGUUCCUGUCUGGCUGCCUGCUUUCACUCUUGUGCUUUGCAGUCUGUCUCCUCACACAUUUUUAAAAACGUAAACCGGGUUACAUCAUUCUUCUGCUUACCACUGUCCAACAGCUUUCCAGCACACCGGAGUAUAAUCAGAAGGCCUCACCAUGGCCUCAGGUAUCCAUGUGAUCUGUGGUCUGAUCCCUGUGCUCUGGUUUCUCUGGCUUCAUCCCCCCCGUUCUCUUUCUCUCUCCCUCUCUUCCAGCCAUCCUGGCCUACCUUCUGUUCCUCCAUCUUGCCAAGCUCAUUUCCAUCUCUGCCCCUUUGCUGGGUAUGUUCUCCCCCCAAAUCUUGAUGUGGCUUUCUCUCUCAUUCUUUCAGGUCUCUUUCAAGUGUUACCUCCUUUCUUGACUCCUUUAUCUGAAGUGACACCUCUUCCCCAGGUUACUCCCUGUUCUCUAACCUUUAUUUUUUCUUCUUGGUGCUGCUCAUUACUAGUGGAUACCAUGUUAAAUCAUUAUUUAUGUAUAGAUUUUUCUUUCCUCCUCCCUGGAAUGUAAGUCUUUGAGGGCAGGAUCUUGUUUAUUGUCAUAGUAUUUAGAAGAAUAUCUAGAACAUAGUACGUAUUCAGGAAAUAUUUAUCAAAUGGAUGCAUGGAUUUUGAAAGUGAAGCGUCUUCACUAGGCCAUGCAGUUGCAUGUCAAAUCAUGUGGAGGAUCAAGACAAUGUGCAAAUCCAUGGCAAGGAGUGGUGCCUGAGUGGCAGGACCAGCUAACUGGUGGUCUAACUAAGGGCUGAUUGGGGAGCCUCGUAGCCUCAGAGAAAGUACAGAGCUUCCAGGGAAUUGUGAGUCAGUGUCAGAAUCCAAGAAAAUGAUUGUGACAGCAGACAAGAGUUCCUAGCACGAAGACAUUAACAUUGAGACACUUUCUCAGAUGGAAGGCUUCCUAAACACUUAUGCCUAGAACAGGGACCACAGUGUAGGGCCUGAGUAGAGUCUGAAGUAGAGCUUAGUUCAGAGAUGGCAAACAGGUUAAUCAAUCCACUGAAUUCUACAGAGUCUGGGGAGAGACUCACAAUCAGCUCCUAAUGCACCAUGGCUGCCACCUCCUUGCAGAUGCUGUCCCAGAAACCAAUUCUUCAAGGGAGAUGUCACUGUGCUGAUGAUCCCCAAGAGGCCAGAGACCAAUGAGUUCAGUGGCCCACUUACAUCUCACAUUGGGGAACUCCACUCAGCAGCAGGGGCCUCUGCACUGGCUGGGAAUCCCCACUGCAGCAGCAGCCUUUGCGGGGUUGAGCUGCAAGCUACUUUUCAGAUUUAGCACGCAGCCUUGUGAGGAGACAAAGUUGUAUUGCCUCUGACGAGAAACAAAGCCAGUGAUGUUGACAUAUAUGGGAAAUGGGAAGAUAUCCAGAGGUUGGAAGCAAAUCUCCAAGCUGGAAGUGUGGCUUGUACUGAUCUUUGUGUGUCCCCAUCUUCAACUGUGUUUGUAGGCUUCCAGGAUCUAUGUAGAAAGAAGUACCUUGCUGUGUGUUUGUAGCUCCGCCCAUCAUUUGAGGGUGAUAAAACCAAGAACUAGUGAUUUUAAGGAACUUGCCAAAUAUUGGAAUCAGUAAGAGGUAAACCUGGGGUCUGAACUCAGAAAGCAUAGUUCCAGAACCUACUUUCCUAACUGCUACAAGGAAGGAAUUGCCAACAUUAAAAAAAAAAAAAAAAAAAAAAAAGUCAAGCGAUUUCACGGAAUCAUGGGAUUCAUGCCCUCUCUUGAACAGUUGUAACAUAUGGUGAGUGUCCACUGGAGGUGAAGAGUAUUCUCCCCUUUUGAUUGGAUACAUGUUCUCAAAUUUGCCUUUCUUUAAUCUAGCCUAGUUCUCUCAUUUGUAUAAUAGCUCGACCUUUGUCUGCAUUUAUUACCCCUGAUCUAAUUCAGUUGUUCUCAGCUGGGGUGAUUUUGCCUCCCCACCGCAGGGGACAUUUGGCAAUGUCUGAAGAUAUAUUUGAUGGUCCUAACUGGGGUGGACUGGGGAUGGGGGUGCUACUGGUGUCUAGUGGGUAAAUGUCAGGCACGCUGCCAAACACCUAAAGAAUUAUGUGUUCCAAAAUGCUGAGGUUGGGUGACACCCAUUGGAUUUAACAUCCCCAUUUCAUAGGUGGGAAAAAAGACUAGAAAGGACAUGAAUUGCUCCAGAUCCCAAAGCAAGUCAAAGUCAAGGGUGGGAGGGUCCACAUAUCUCACUUCUCCCUGACCAUUUCCAGGUUAUAAGCUUUGCAGGCCUUGAACAGAGAUUUUUUUUUAAUUUUUUUUAACGUCUUAUUUAUUUUUGAGACAGAGACAGAGAAAGACAGAGCAUGAGCGGGGGAGGGGCAGAGAGAGGGAGACACAGAAUCGGAAACAGGCUCCAGGCUCCGAGCCAUCAGCCCAGAGCCCGACGCGGGGCUCGAACUCACGGACCGCGAGAUCGUGACCUGAGCCGAAGUCGGACGCCCAACCGACUGAGCCACCCAGGCGCCCCGAACAGAGAUUUUUAUAAAUGAAAUGAAAAGGAAGACUGGACCAAGUAUUAAGUCACAAUUUUCACUUCAAAGUCGCUGCCAGUGGCUACCAAUCCAAGGCCAGGGCUUCAAAAGAAAUGAGUUCUUGCCUCCUGGGCUCCCAUCUCUGACACCUCCAGCUAAGACGUUUCUGACCGGAGCAUGGUCCUGGCAAGGUGUUCUUCAUGCCAGCCAGACCUGUCUACAGCCACUAGAGCCUGGCCUACACUCCUGCUGAACCUGGCUUUCCCCCUGCUGCGGCUCACAUACCCCCUUAUCAUGGACUCCUCCUCCCCAACCCUAUCUCCUCUCCCUAGAGACACUCUCACGUUCCACUUCCUCCACUCAGCCUUCCUUUAAUUCUCCUAACUGAAGAACCUCUUCUUUUUACUUUCUGAAAUGACCAUGUAAGUCACAUGUAGAUGGUGAUGAUAACUAUAGGAGCAAUACAGCUAAGCUAACACCUGACGAUGGUCUAUUCUGCUCCCCAGCACUGUAUACACUCUUGACCCACAUUAUCUCAUUUAACUCUCAUGGAGCUCCUAUGAAAUAUGAACUUUUAUUUGUAUUGCUGAGUAAGCCGCCUUAGCAAGGUUGCAUAAAUUGUUCAAAAUCUCAUAGCUCAUUUUAUGUCUUAUGUAAAUUAUUUGUAUUCUCUUUUAUUUAUCCUCCAAAUGGUAAUUGAGAUCAGGGAGCAUUCUUUGUUCAGCUGUGACCCCUAUUCUAAGCCUAUGGAGUAUCUUGUGCAUGGUGGGCAGUAAAUCACCAAUUUGCUGAAGAGUCUCAGAAUUCACAACUUUUGCCACCAAAUUGGUCAUGUUUUUUGGUGCUGAAUUUUAUUUUAUUUAAAAUUUUUUUCUUGUUAUCUAUCAAGCAUACACCUGUGUUCUAUGUAAUGUAAGUCGAGAUGGGGAGCAAAAAAAGUGUUUCUAAGAAGUUUGGAAUAAAUUGAUUCCUGUUUUCCUUCUGUUAUAGUUUGAGAGAGGGUCUGUCUUUAUUUGAGAGGGAUCCUGAAGUCUCUGCUUCAGGAAGUUACAAACAAAUUUAGGAGCACUUUCAAUUUGUAAAGAAACUCUGCUCAAAAUGCAAAGAAUCCUUCUGAGUGUCUCCUGGUGAUCCCUUUGUUUUCAAAGUUUGCAUUUUUGCUUAUUGGCAUAUAUUUUUUAAAGCAGGGCAUUGCCUGACACAAUGUGGGGGGCACAUCCCUUUGGAAAAACUGAAUGUCGCUGGGCUUGGGGUAGGAAUCAUUCAAAAGCUACUCAAAUGAUUUAUUAAAUAGAAAGUCAGGAGCAUAGAUUCAAGGUCACGAGUUAGAACUGUGGGGUUGAGAAGGAGCUCAAUUUUCUUGGAAAUAAUAAGGCUGACCUUUUAGGAGGGUAGCUUUGGGGAGACAGUUGUAUAGAGAAGUCCUCAAGAUUCACAUGCAGAGGGACACAAUUUUGGUAAAUGCAUUCAGCUGCCUUUUGCUCUGAUUUCUGAGCUGCUGGUGCUCCUGGAUUUGAGAUGGCUUUCAGAGAACCAGAGGCUCCUUAUGCAGCCCCACAUCUAGGUGGCCAUUUCAUAUUCUUGUGAGGGGCCCAGGGGACAGAGAUGGAAGUGUCUGAGGUGUGGGGGAAAAGUGAGGAAGGUCAGGAAAGAGGCUAGGGUAACCAGAUUGCUUAUCAAACAAGUGGAAUAGACAUGGAGGGGAAAUGGUCAUUCAGCGUUUCUCUUUCUCUUUUCUGGGCACCUUGUCCAGGAGCCACUCCUCUAACCCUUGAUGAGGGAUGGUCACUAAAGCAUCCCCACUUUGCACAUAGAGGCACCAUAAAUGGCCUGCCCUUGGUGGGACCGGAUUUGCAGCAUUUCCUGCACUGAGCAUGAAGUCCUAUUACUUUCUCUGCACUGCUCUGGCUUUGGUUAGGGUUGUUCUGGGUCAUAGGUAAGCCAGAGAUACCAGGCCACCAUGGGGUUGUGCCCUCCUUGAAAGCAUUACGAUGCUGGAUGCCUUGACUGGCUCUAGCCCCCUGGGCUGUGUGUACACAGGCAUUGGACUGUGCAUUGACACACUCUUCGGCCUGGACCCACAGCUGUGCAGACCUGGGCCUGCGGAAGCCAUGGAUGUUGCUCUGCUGGCCAACACUGGCAAGGAAACCUGAGCCCUUCUAUUGUCGGCCCCACAGACAGGCUGAGCAGGCAGUCUAGGGAGACGCAUUGUGAUUCAGAGGAUACUGAAAGGCGGCACAACCAUAUAUGUCGUAAACAUGGAUCACUUAUAAGCAUGGAAAGGGGCACUAAUUAAUAAUUAUGUUGGGGCCACAAGCAAAAAAAUGGAGUUGAAUCUGGAAAACCUGGAAUCACUGUACCUAAAGGUACCUUGGUCUCAAUUCAACUUAACAUUUCUUAAGCAUCUCUGCACCAGUCAUCAUCCCCUUUCACAACUGGGCAUGGACCUGUCAACAAGUAAUGCCAGGAUAGAAGAUUAGAUGCAAUUGUGGAAAUGGGGAGAAACCAAAAGGAGGGAAAGUUUACUCUCUGGGCAGGGGUGGGAAGGGGGCACAGGGAAGAUGUUAAUGCAAGGAGUUUUCAAAGACAUGUUUUGGAGGCAUAUGGAUGGCAGAAGGGGGUUCUAGAAAGGGAGAACAGCAAGUGCAAAGUCACAGAUACUUGAAAGCACAGAGCACAUUUGAAGGAUUGUAAGAAAAUGGAGAGUAAAGUGGGAAGUGGGAGUGACAGGAGAUAAAGCUAAAUGGAAGCCAGGUCACAAGCCGCCCGUAGGCCAGGCCGGACAGCUUGGACAUGCUUGGAACAGGAUUGGCAAUUGUGGCCCAUGGGCUAAAUCUAGUCUGCCCUUUGUUUUUGUAAACCAAGUUUUAUUAGACUUCAACCAAGCUCAUUCAUUAUGUGUCAUAUAAGGCUGCUUUCACACUACAACAGCAGAGUUGAGUUGCAACAGACUACAUGGCCCGCCAAACCUAAAAUACCUGCUCUCUCUGGGGCACCUGGGUGGCUCAGUCAGUUGAGCAUCUGACUUCAGCUCAGGUCAUGAUCUCGCAGUUCAUGAGUUCGAGCCCCACAUUGGGCUCACUGCCAUCAACCUGUCAGCGCAGAGCCCGUUAUGGAUCCUCUGUCCCCCUCUCUCUCUGCCCCUACCCCACUUAUGCUCUUUCUCUGUCUCUC